rnacentral:tRNA from 1 species
ACCUGGCUGGCUCAGUUGGUAGAGUGUGUGACUCUUGAUCUCAGGGUUGUGAGUUCAAGACCCAUGUUGGGUA